rnacentral:rRNA from 1 species
UACGUAGGUGGCGAGCGUUGUCCGGAAUUACUGGGUGUAAAGCGCGUGUAGGCGGGAGGCCAAGUCUGUGGUGAAAUCGCUCGGCUCAACUGGGCGGGGUCCAUGGAAACUGGUCACCUGGAGGUCGGUAGAGGCGAGUGGAAUUCCCGGUGUAGUGGUGAAAUGCGUAGAGAUCGGGAGGAACACCAGUGGCGAAGGCGGCUCGCUGGGCCGGUCCUGACACUGAGGCGCGAAGGCGUGGGGAGCGAACGGG